rnacentral:misc_RNA from 1 species
CAGAGUUGCAAAACUCCCAAACCCUUGUGAACAUACCUGUAUGUCGUUGCUUCGGCGGGCAGCCCCUGGGAGGGGACUCGCCUCUUCGUGAGGUGCCCGCCGGAGGACCAUCAAAACUCUUGAAUUAUAUGGCCUCUAUGAGAACUUUUUAAAUAAGUAA